rnacentral:lncRNA from 1 species
GUAAUCAUUAUCAGGUAAAUGCUUUUAAAUUCUUUUGACAAAUUUAUUGAGUCAGAUUGAAAUAACAUUGUUUUCGAUCUAGAUGAACUGAAAUUUAAUUGGCUAAAUAAAGUUAUAGAUCCUAGACUUUGUUUUGGGUUGUGAGAACUGAAUCUAAUCUGAAAUCGGAUGACCCUAGUUGCCUAUAGUUUGAAAUCUGAAUGAGACCCUGAUUUACUGGAUUAUCUUAUAUGAAGUUACAGUAUGAAUUCUGCAUUCUCUAUUCAUAACCUAAAAUGGAAUGGUUUAGUUUCUUAAGUGUAAUUGUAGUAUUAAUUUUUUUAUUCAUAUUAUAAAUUGGUAUGGUAUGUUUGUGGCCAUGAUUUCCGUAAAUACAAUUGUUGUGUGGCAUGUUGGAAAAGCAUAGGAUAUGGGUUAUGCCUUGAUGAUGUAAAAUACAAUUGUUGUGUGGUAUGUAGUAUUAAUAAGAGACGUGUAUUGAUAAUGUAAAAUAGGAUGGUAUGCUUCAGCAAUAUGACCAUAAAUGUGA